GAAGGGGAUAACACUUGGAAACAGGUGCUAAUACCGUAUAACACUAUUUUCCGCAUGGAAGAAAGUUGAAAGGCGCUUUUGCGUCACUGAUGGAUGGACCCGCGGUGCAUUAGCUAGUUGGUGAGGUAACGGCUCACCAAGGCAACGAUGCAUAGCCGACCUGAGAGGGUGAUCGGCCACACUGGGACUGAGACACGGCCCAGACUCCUACGGGAGGCAGCAGUAGGGAAUCUUCGGCAAUGGACGAAAGUCUGACCGAGCAACGCCGCGUGAGUGAAGAAGGUUUUCGGAUCGUAAAACUCUGUUGUUAGAGAAGAACAAGGAUGAGAGUAAAAUGUUCAUCCCUUGACGGUAUCUAACCAGAAAGCCACGGCUAACUACGUGCCAGCAGCCGCGGUAAUACGUAGGUGGCAAGCGUUGUCCGGAUUUAUUGGGCGUAAAGCGAGCGCAGGCGGUUUCUUAAGUCUGAUGUGAAAGCCCCCGGCUCAACCGGGGAGGGUCAUUGGAAACUGGGAGACUUGAGUGCAGAAGAGGAGAGUGGAAUUCCAUGUGUAGCGGUGAAAUGCGUAGAUAUAUGGAGGAACACCAGUGGCGAAGGCGGCUCUCUGGUCUGUAACUGACGCUGAGGCUCGAAAGCGUGGGGAGCGAACAGGAUUAGAUACCCUGGUAGUCCACGCCGUAAACGAUGAGUGCUAAGUGUUGGAGGGUUUCCGCCCUUCAGUGCUGCAGCAAACGCAUUAAGCACUCCGCCUGGGGAGUACGACCGCAAGGUUGAAACUCAAAGGAAUUGACGGGGGCCCGCACAAGCGGUGGAGCAUGUGGUUUAAUUCGAAGCAACGCGAAGAACCUUACCAGGUCUUGACAUCCUUUGACCACUCUAGAGAUAGAGCUUCCCCUUCGGGGGCAAAGUGACAGGUGGUGCAUGGUUGUCGUCAGCUCGUGUCGUGAGAUGUUGGGUUAAGUCCCGCAACGAGCGCAACCCUUAUUGUUAGUUGCCAUCAUUUAGUUGGGCACUCUAGCGAGACUGCCGGUGACAAACCGGAGGAAGGUGGGGAUGACGUCAAAUCAUCAUGCCCCUUAUGACCUGGGCUACACACGUGCUACAAUGGGAAGUACAACGAGUUGCGAAGUCGCGAGGCUAAGCUAAUCUCU
rnacentral:rRNA from 1 species